UUGGAGGGCAAGUCUGGUGCCAGCAGCCGCGGUAAUUCCAGCUCCAAUAGCGUAUAUUAAAGUUGUUGCAGUUAAAAAGCUCGUAGUUGAAUUUCGGGAUUAGUACGCUGGUCGUGCCUUCGGUACGUACUGGUGUUACUGAUUUCUACCUUCUGACGAACCAUCAUGUCAUUAAUUUGGUGUGGUGGGGAAUCAGGACUGUUGCUUUGAAAAAAUUAGAGUGUUUAAAGCAGGCUCGCGCUUGAAUACAUUAGCAUGGAAUAAUGAAAUAGGACGUUGAUCCUAUUUUGUUGGUUUCUAGGAUUGACGUAAUGAUUAAUAGGGAUAGUUGGGGGCAUUAGUAUUCAAUUGUCAGAGGUGAAAUUCUUGGAUUUAUUGAAGACUAACUACUGCGAAAGCAUUUGCCAAGGAUGUUUUCAUUAAUCAAGAACGAAAGUUAGGGGAUCGAAGACGAUCAGAUACCGUCGUAGUCUUAACCAUAAACUAUGCCGACUAGGGAUCGGAUGAUGUUAUUUUUAAUGACUUAUUCGGCGCCUUACGGGAAAC
rnacentral:rRNA from 1 species